rnacentral:rRNA from 1 species
GAUGAACGCUGGCGGCGUGCCUAAUACAUGCAAGUCGAGCGAACGGACGAGAAGCUUGCUUCUCUGAUGUUAGCGGCGGACGGGUGAGUAACACGUGGAUAACCUACCUAUAAGACUGGGAUAACUUCGGGAAACCGGAGCUAAUACCGGAUAAUAUUUUGAACCGCAUGGUUCAAAAGUGAAAGACGGUCUUGCUGUCACUUAUAGAUGGAUCCGCGCUGCAUUAGCUAGUUGGUAAGGUAACGGCUUACCAAGGCAACGAUGCAUAGCCGACCUGAGAGGGUGAUCGGCCACACUGGAACUGAGACACGGUCCAGACUCCUACGGGAGGCAGCAGUAGGGAAUCUUCCGCAAUGGGCGAAAGCCUGACGGAGCAACGCCGCGUGAGUGAUGAAGGUCUUCGGAUCGUAAAACUCUGUUAUUAGGGAAGAACAUAUGUGUAAGUAACUGUGCACAUCUUGACGGUACCUAAUCAGAAAGCCACGGCUAGCUACGUGCCAGCAGCCGCGGUAAUACGUAGGUGGCAAGCGUUAUCCGGAAAUAUUGGGCGUAAAGCGCGCGUAGGCGGUUUUUUAAGUCUGAUGUGAAAGCCCACGGCUCAACCGUGGAGGGUCAUUGGAAACUGGAAAACUUGAGUGCAGAAGAGGAAAGUGGAAUUCCAUGUGUAGCGGUGAAAUGCGCAGAGAUAUGGAGGAACACCAGUGGCGAAGGCGACUUUCUGGUCUGUAACUGACGCUGAUGUGCGAAAGCGUGGGGAUCAAACAGGAUUAGAUACCCUGGUAGUCCACGCCGUAAACGAUGAGUGCUAAGUGUUAGGGGGUUUCCGCCCCUUAGUGCUGCAGCUAACGCAUUAAGCACUCCGCCUGGGGAGUACGACCGCAAGGUUGAAACUCAAAGGAAUUGACGGGGACCCGCACAAGCGGUGGAGCAUGUGGUUUAAUUCGAAGCAACGCGAAGAACCUUACCAAAUCUUGACAUCCUUUGACAACUCUAGAGAUAGAGCUUUCCCCUUCGGGGGACAAAGUGACAGGUGGUGCAUGGUUGUCGUCAGCUCGUGUCGUGAGAUGUUGGGUUAAGUCCCGCAACGAGCGCAACCCUUAAGCUUAGUUGCCAUCAUUAAGUUGGGCACUCUAAGUUGACUGCCGGUGACAAACCGGAGGAAGGUGGGGAUGACGUCAAAUCAUCAUGCCCCUUAUGGUUUGGGCUACACACGUGCUACAAUGGACAAUACAAAGGGCAGCGAAACCGCGAGGUCAAGCAAAUCCCAUAAAGUUGUUCUCAGUUCGGAUUGUAGUCUGCAACUCGACUACAUGAAGCUGGAAUCGCUAGUAAUCGUAGAUCAGCAUGCUACGGUGAAUACGUUCCCGGGUCU